rnacentral:rRNA from 1 species
UACGUAGGGUGCGAGCGUUGUCCGGAAUUAUUGGGCGUAAAGAGCUCGUAGGCGGUCUGUCGCGUCGGAUGUGAAAACUCGGGGCUCAACCCCCGAGCCUGCAUUCGAUACGGGCAGACUAGAGUUCGGUAGGGGAGACUGGAAUUCCUGGUGUAGCGGUGAAAUGCGCAGAUAUCAGGAGGAACACCGGUGGCGAAGGCGCUUUCUGGGUCUUACCUGACGCUGAGGAACGAAAGCCAGGGGAGCGAACGGG